GAGUUUGAUCAUGGCUCAGGACGAACGCUGGCGGCGUGCCUAAUACAUGCAAGUCGAGCGAGCAGAACUAACAGAUCUACUUCGGUAGUGACGUUUCGGAAGCGAGCGGCGGAUGGGUGAGUAACACGUGGGUAACCUGCCCUUAAGUCUGGGAUACCACUUGGAAACAGGUGCUAAUACCGGAUAACAACAAGUGCUGCAUGGCACUUGCUUGAAAGGCGGCGUAAGCUGUCGCUAAAGGAUGGACCCGCGGUGCAUUAGCUAGUUGGUAAGGUAACGGCUUACCAAGGCAACGAUGCAUAGCCGAGUUGAGAGACUGAUCGGCCACAUUGGGACUGAGACACGGCCCAAACUCCUACGGGAGGCAGCAGUAGGGAAUCUUCCACAAUGGGCGAAAGCCUGAUGGAGCAACGCCGCGUGAGUGAAGAAGGUUUUCGGAUCGUAAAGCUCUGUUGUUGGUGAAGAAGGAUAGAGGUAGUAACUGGCCUUUAUUUGACGGUAAUCAACCAGAAAGUCACGGCUAACUACGUGCCAGCAGCCGCGGUAAUACGUAGGUGGCAAGCGUUGUCCGGAUUUAUUGGGCGUAAAGCGAGCGCAGGCGGAGAAAUAAGUCUGAUGUGAAAGCCCUCGGCUUAACCGGGGAAUUGCAUCGGAAACUGUUUUUCUUGAGUGCAGAAGAGGAGAGUGGAACUCCAUGUGUAGCGGUGGAAUGCGUAGAUAUAUGGAAGAACACCAGUGGCGAAGGCGGCUCUCUGGUCUGCAACUGACGCUGAGGCUCGAAAGCAUGGGUAGCGAACAGGAUUAGAUACCCUGGUAGUCCAUGCCGUAAACGAUGAGUGCUAAGUAUUGGGAGGUUUCCGCCUCUCAGUGCUGCAGCUAACGCAUUAAGCACUCCGCCUGGGG
rnacentral:rRNA from 1 species